rnacentral:rRNA from 1 species
AAAACCUCAGUAGGCCUCAAAUAAUGUGUGGGUACCCCCUAAAUUUAAGCAU